rnacentral:rRNA from 1 species
GUUUCGGUGCGGGCUGGGAGACCGGUACCAAAUCGAGACAAACUCUGAAUACCCAGAGCACACGUUGCCAGUGAGACAGUGGGGGAUAAGCUUCAUUGUCAAGAGGGAAACAGCCCAGACCACCAGCUAAGGUCCCCAAAUCAUUGCUAAGUGAUAAAGGAGGUGAGAGUGCACAGACAACUAGGAGGUUUGCCUAGAAGCAGCCACCCUUGAAAGAGUGCGUAAUAGCUCACUAGUCAAGCGCUCUCGCGCCGAAAAUGAACGGGGCUAAGCAAUGUACCGAAGCUGUGGGAUAAAUCUAUUGAUUUAUCGGUAGGGGAGCGUUCCGUCGUAGGUAGAAGCAGUAGCGGCGAGCAGCUGUGGACGAAACGGAAGUGAGAAUGUCGGCUUGAGUAGCGCAAACAUUGGUGAGAAUCCAAUGCCCCGAAACCCUAAGGGUUCCUCCGCCAGGUUCGUCCUCGGAGGGUUAGUCGGGUCCUAAGGCGAGGCCAAACGGCGUAGUCGAUGGACAACGUGUCAACAUUCACGUACUAUUCUGCGGGAGCAUGAUUCGGGACGCAUAAAAGAUAGCCAGACCCUGAUUGGUUUGGGAGGAGUUUACGAACUCCGCUUGGNGAAGGAUAGUGCCUAGAAAAGCGAGUCAUGUGAUGAAAGCAGAGUACCCGUACCCGAAACCGACACAGGUAGGGAGGUUGAGUAUACCAAGGGGCGCGAGAUAACUCUCUCUAAGGAACUCGGCAAAAUGGCCCCG